UGGAUCGUCGCAAGACGGACAGAAGCGAAAGCAUUUGCCAAAAACGUUUUCAUUGAUCAAGAACGAAAGUUAGAGGUUCGAAGGCGAUCAGAUACCGCCCUAGUUCUAACCAUAAACGAUGCCAGCUAGCGAUCCGCCGAAGUUCCUCCGAUGACUCGGCGGGCAGCUUCCGGGAAACCAAAGCUUUUGGGUUCCGGGGGAAGUAUGGUUGCAAAGCUGAAACUUAAAGGAAUUGACGGAAGGGCACCACCAGGAGUGGAGCCUGCGGCUUAAUUUGACUCAACACGGGAAACCUCACCAGGCCCGGACACCGGAAGGAUUGACAGAUUGAGAGCUCUUUCUUGAUUCGGUGGGUGGUGGUGCAUGGCCGUUCUUAGUUGGUGGAGCGAUUUGUCUGGUUAAUUCCGAUAACGAACGAGACUCUGGCCUGCUAACUAGGCGUAUUUCCGACAUCUCGAAGGCCCGCCGGCCUGGUGCGCUCGCGCGCCGAGUCGUGCGCGGUUUUUACUGUCGGCGUACAAACAAUUCUUCUUAGAGGGACAGGCGGCUUCUAGCCGCACGAGAUAGAGCAAUAACAGGUCUGUGAUGCCCUUAGAUGUUCUGGGCCGCACGCGCGCUACACUGAAGGAAUCAGCGUGUCCUCCCUGGCCGAGCGGCCCGGGUAACCCGCUGAACCUCCUUCGUGCUAGGGAUUGGGGCUUGCAAUUGUUCCCCAUGAACGAGGAAUUCCCAGUAAGCGCGAGUCAUAAGCUCGCGUUGAUUACGUCCCUGCCCUUUGUACACACCGCCCGUCGCUACUACCGAUUGAAUGAUUUAGUGAGGUCUUCGGACCGGCACGCGGUGGCG
rnacentral:rRNA from 1 species